rnacentral:rRNA from 1 species
CCUACGGGAGGCAGCAGUGAGGAAUAUUGGUCAAUGGACGAGAGCCUGAACCAGCCAAGUAGCGUGAAGGAUGACUGCCCUAUGGGUUGUAAACUUCUUUUAUAAAGGAAUAAAGCGAGGCACGUGUGCCUUUUUGCAUGUACUUUAUGAAUAAGGAUCGGCUAACUCCGUGCCAGCAGCCGCGGUAAUACGGAGGAUCCGAGCGUUAUCCGGAUUUAUUGGGUUUAAAGGGUGCGUAGGCGGCUUUUUAAGUCAGCGGUGAAAGUUUGUGGCUAAACCGUAGAAUUGCAGUUGAAACUGGGAGGCUUGAGUAUGUUUGAGGCAGGCGGAAUGCGUGGUGUAGCGGUGAAAUGCUUAGAUAUCACGCAGAACCCCGAUUGCGAAGGCAGCCUGCUAAGCCAUCACUGACGCUGAUGCACGAAAGCGUGGGGAUCAAACAGGAUUAGAUACCCUUGUAGUC